AAGGCGGCCAGGCAGCCAGGCGGGAGCGUCUCUCCCGCGCCCCGCGGGUUGCAGCUUGGGCCCCCGGGGAGUGAACCCCGGGGGCAUUUGUCGUGCGGCUGCGAAUAGCUACUGUGUGAUGGAAUGAGUUCUACAACUAGGGAUUCAUUUUCAACCUGGAGUCUGCGAGUGCUCGCCUCGUCCUGAAUCUGUCUCUGCAUCUGUAAAAUGGGGACAAGAGUAGCAACGGCCGACAUCGUGCUUCGAGACUGGGAUCUCGCUACAUUGCCAAGGCUGGGUAUCAAAUUUCCGCGCCCUAGACAUCCUCCUGCCCCAGCCUCCUGAGUGGCUGGAACUACAGGCACAUGCCACCAUGCCCAGCAAAUAAUGACAUAUAUCGCUAAA